rnacentral:rRNA from 1 species
UACGUAGGGGGCUAGCGUUGUCCGGAAUCAUUGGGCGUAAAGAGCGUGUAGGCGGCUCGGUAAGUCCGCUCUGAAAGCCCGGGGGCUCAACCCCGGGAGGCGGGCGGAUACUGUCGGGCUAGAGUCCGGAAGAGGCGAGUGGAAUUCCUGGUGUAGCGGUGAAAUGCGCAGAUAUCAGGAGGAACACCAAUAGCGAAGGCAGCUCGCUGGGACGGUACUGACGCUGAGACGCGAAAGCGUGGGGAGCAAACAGG